AACGAACGCUGGCGGCAUGCCUAACACAUGCAAGUCGAACGAGAUCUUCGGGUCUAGUGGCGCACGGGUGCGUAACGCGUGGGAAUCUGCCCUUUGGUUCGGAAUAACAGUUGGAAACGACUGCUAAUACCGGAUGAUGACGAAAGUCCAAAGAUUUAUCGCCAGAGGAUGAGCCCGCGUAGGAUUAGCUAGUUGGUGUGGUAAAGGCGCACCAAGGCGACGAUCCUUAGCUGGUCUGAGAGGAUGAUCAGCCACACUGGGACUGAGACACGGCCCAGACUCCUACGGGGGGCAGCAGUGGGGAAUAUUGGACAAUGGGCGAAAGCCUGAUCCAGCAAUGCCGCGUGAGCGAUGAAGGCCUUAGGGUUGUAAAGCUCUUUUACCCGGGAUGAUAAUGACAGUACCGGGAGAAUAAGCUCCGACUAACCCCGUGCCAGCAGCCGCCGUAA
rnacentral:rRNA from 1 species